GAAGUGGUGUUGCGAAAUAAAGCCGGAAAAGUGGGCACGAACAAUCGAUUCCAAAAGGGAGUCUGCUUUUCGGGGGGUGAGAGGACAUGCGCAAUGAAAGAGAGAAGUAGUUCGGUGGCACGCGUGCGCGUGUC
ensembl:ncRNA W06B11.8 ncRNA